rnacentral:rRNA from 1 species
GACCUACGGGACGCAGCAGUGGGGAAUAUUGCACAAUGGGGGAAACCCUGAUGCAGCGACGCCGCGUGAGCGAAGAAGUAUUUCGGUAUGUAAAGCUCUAUCAGCAGGGAAGAAAAAUGACGGUACCUGAGUAAGAAGCACCGGCUAAAUACGUGCCAGCAGCCGCGGUAAUACGGAGGAUGCGAGCGUUAUCCGGAUUUAUUGGGUUUAAAGGGUGCGUAGGCGGAAUAUCAAGUCAGCGGUAAAAAUUCGGGGCUCAACCCCGACGUGCCGUUGAAACUGAUGUUCUUGAGUGGGCGAGAAGG